rnacentral:lncRNA from 1 species
GACUACCUGAAUUUCUAAUUCAGUGACGGAAGGCUGCUGGGUGUAGUCAAGUACUUGACUUGUUGGUGCGUGUGUCAAGAUGAGAUUGACCACUCCAGUUCAGGAGCUGUGUACAGUCAUGUUUCAAUUUAGCAAAACCUUGGCCAGAGUAGUCCUAGUGAGGAGUCACAGGACUGAUUGAGUUGAGCACGACUCGGAUGAUCUAAUCAGGGUUGACAGUUUAAC